rnacentral:rRNA from 1 species
GAUGAACGCUGGCGGCGUGCUUAACACAUGCAAGUCGAACGAAGAUGCCGGAGUGCUUGCACUUUGGCAGACUGAGUGGCGGACGGGUGAGUAACGCGUGGGUAACCUGCCUUAUACAGGGGGAUAACAGUUGGAAACGACUGCUAAUACCGCAUAAGCGCACGGUAUCGCAUGAUACAGUGUGAAAAACUCCGGUGGUAUAAGAUGGACCCGCGUCUGAUUAGCUUGUUGGUGAGGUAACGGCCCACCAAGGCGACGAUCAGUAGCCGGCCUGAGAGGGUGAACGGCCACAUUGGGACUGAGACACGGCCCAAAACUCCUACGGGAGGCAGCAGUGGGGAAUAUUGCACAAUGGGGGAAACCCUGAUGCAGCGACGCCGCGUGAGUGAUGAAGUAUUCGGUAUGUAAAACUCUAUCAGCAGGGAAGAUAAAUCGACGGUACCUGACUAAGAAGCACCGGCUAAAAUACGUG